rnacentral:rRNA from 1 species
CGUGUAGGCGGUUUGCCGAGUCAGAUGUGAAAGCCCCGGGCUUAACCUGGGAACUGCAUUUGAUACUGGCAGGCUAGAGGUUGGAAGAGGAGAGUGGAAUUCCCAGUGUAGAGGUGAAAUUCGUAGAUAUUGGGAAGAACACCAGUGGCGAAGGCGGCUCUCUGGUCCACACCUGACGCUGAGGCGCGAAAGCGUGGGGAGCAAACA